UCCCUGGUGGUCCAGUGGUUAGGACUCCGCGCUCCGAACGCAGGGGGUCACGGGUUCGACCCCUGGUCAGGGAA